ACGGUUUUUGGUUCAGAGUACAUGAAAUCAUUCUCUCACUACGUUUCUUUCCUAUUAUUCCUGUAGGGUUUUGCAAUCCUCUUUUCCUUUCUUUUCAUGUUGUUGUUGUUUUUCUUUUUCUUUUUUCUCUUUUUCUCUUUUUUUUUUCUUCUUUUUUUUUAUUAUUUUUUUUAUAUACGACAUUCACUUACUAUUCACGUACUGCAAAGCUAC
rnacentral:lncRNA from 1 species